rnacentral:misc_RNA from 1 species
GUGAAUACAAACUUGGUACUUGCUUCACGGCGAGUACCAAACCCUUCACAUCCACACACACCCUUUGUGCACCGAGUGCUUCAACGACCGACGUUUAAUUACCGACGUUGGAGAGGCAUUCAACCCAACUUUAUAAACUCAGUAUGCAAUGAAUGUAAAACGUUUUUAAUAAACAAACAAAACUUUUAACAACGGAUCUCUUGGUUCUCGCAUCGAUGAAGAACGCAGCGAAAUGCGAUAAGUAAUGUGAAUUGCAGAAUUCAGUGAAUCAUCGAAUCUUUGAACGCACCUUGCGCUCUCUGGUAUUCCGGAGAGCAUGCCUGUUUGAGUGUUAUGAAACUCUCAACCCCCUAUUCUUUUUUCGGAUCGAGUAGGUGGGUUGGAUCUGAGUGUUGCUGGUCCUUGUGAUCGGCUCAUUCGAAAUUUAUUAGCUGGAUCCUUACCUAACUUGGUUCCACUCGGCGUGAUAAGUAUCUUCGUCGAGGACAUUAGAGAGUCGCAAGACUUUCUAGUGGCCAGGUAGGGUUUGUCUUGAUCUGCUUCUAAUCCACUGCUGUGAUUUAUUUCACAGAGUACUUUCUUAA